rnacentral:rRNA from 1 species
CAGCCGCCGCGGUAACACCGAGGGUGCGAGCGUUAAUCGGAUUUACUGGGCGUAAAGCGUGCGUAGGCGGCUUUUUAAGUCGGAUGUGAAAUCCCUGAGCUUAACUUAGGAAUUGCAUUCGAUACUGGGAAGCUAGAGUAUGGGAGAGGAUGGUAGAAUUCCAGGUGUAGCGGUGAAAUGCGUAGAGAUCUGGAGGAAUACCGAUGGCGAAGGCAGCCAUCUGGCCUAAUACUGACGCUGAGGUACGAAAGCAUGGGGAGCAAACAGGAUUAGAUACCCCUGUAGUCCCUGUCUCUUAUAC